rnacentral:tRNA from 1 species
GGAGAGUUGGCUGAGUGGCCGAAAGCGCUCGCUUGGAAAGCGAGUAUAUGGGAAACUGUAUCGAGGGUUCGAAUCCCUCACUCUCCGCCA